rfam:Hordeum vulgare subsp. vulgare, WGS project CAJW01000000 data, contig: morex_contig_67669
UUAAUACUUCCUCCGUUUCAAAAUUCUUGUCUUAAAUUUGUCUAGAUAUGAAUGUAUCUAGUCACGUUUUAGUAUUUCGAUACAUCCAUUUCUAGACAAACCUNNNNNAAGAAUUUUGAGACGGAGGGAGUAGAAU